rnacentral:lncRNA from 1 species
GCAUAUUGCCACAACCCACUACACUUGUGGCAUUAACUUAUGGCAACAAAUAUUCCAGUUGUCGUAACAGGAAAUAGCAACAUACUUGUUUUGGUGGCGAUAAAUAGGUAUCACAACAGGUGAAAUGUUUGUAGCGAGAAACUAUUGCGACAAUUUAAAAUUUGUUUUCGCGGCAUUAGGCAUAUUGCCACAACCCACUACACUUGUGGCAUUAACUUAUGGCAACAAAUAUUCCAGUUGUCGUAACAGGAAAUUGCAACAUGCUUGUUUUGGUGGUGAUAAAUAGGUAUCACAACAGGUGAUGGGUGGCUGCUGUAGCACGAGCUUGCUCUUCAAUCUGGAUACGAAACCUUUGAGAACUAGUUGAAGGUUUGGCCAUGUAUCCGUACCCACGAGGCUUCAAUGACUUGCAUUUCAGAGUGUCUUUGUAUGCGGUCUAGAAAAUAUUGUUUUUCUGCUCACUUGAAAGUGGACCUUCAGUUUCAGUUUCUUUGUUUUGAACCUCUUGACGUGCUUUGUACUAAAAAUGAAAAUAACAAUUAUAGGUACGACAUCAAUAUUGAC